rnacentral:rRNA from 1 species
AUUGAACGCUGGCGGCAGGCCUAACACAUGCAAGUCGAGCGGAUGACGGGAGCUUGCUCCUUGAUUCAGCGGCGGACGGGUGAGUAAUGCCUAGGAAUCUGCCUGGUAGUGGGGGACAACGUUUCGAAAGGAACGCUCAUACCGCAUACGUCCUACGGGAGAAAGCAGGGGACCUUCGGGCCUUGCGCUAUCAGAUGAGCCUAGGUCGGAUUAGCUUGUUGGUGAGGUAAUGGCUCACCAAGGCGACGAUCCGUAACUGGUCUGAGAGGAUGAUCAGUCACACUGGAACUGAGACACGGUCCAGACUCCUACGGGAGGCAGCAGUGGGGAAUAUUGGACAAUGGGCGAAAGCCUGAUCCAGCCAUGCCGCGUGUGUGAAGAAGGUCUUCGGAUUGUAAAGCACUUUAAGUUGGGAGGAAGGGUUGUAGAUUAAUACUCUGCAAUUUUGACGUUACCGACAGAAUAAGCACCGGCUAACUCUGUG